rnacentral:rRNA from 1 species
CCUACGGGUGGCUGCAGUGAGGAAUAUUGGUCAAUGGCCGGAAGACUGAACCAGCCAAGCCGCGUGAAGGACGAAGGUGCCAAGCAUUGUAAACUUCUUUUGUCAAGGGAUAAAAUCAGUCUCGAGAGCCUGACCGAGGGUACUUGAAGAAAAAGCAUCGGCUAACUCCGUGCCAGCAGCCGCGGUAAUACGGAGGAUGCGAGCUUUAUCCGGAUUUAUUGGGUUUACAGGGUGCGUAGGCGGACUGUUAAGUCAGCGGUAAAAGCCCGGGGCGCAACCCGGGCGAGCGGUUGCAACUGGCUUUCUUGAGAUGUCGAGAGGUAUGCGGAAUGCGCAGUGUAGCGGUGAAAUGCUUAGAUAUCGCGCAGAACUCCGAUUGCGAAGGCAGCAUACGGGCGGCGAUCUGACGCUGAGGCACGAAAGCGUGGGUAUCGAACAGGAUUAGAUACCCUUGUAGUC